ensembl:lncRNA
CCGACGGUCCGAGGCCGAAGGGCAGGAGCAGCGAGGCCGGUCUUGGGCAACGAGAGGGUGCAGGUCAGGGAGGAAGCAGCAGGUCUCAGGUAGCAGGCCCAGGGAAGUCCGUCAGCAAACGGUCCGUAGAGAAGGAUCUGAAGGCAGGAAGCUUGUGUCGUGGUGAGAGAUCAUGAGAGAUCAGCCUCUGUGUUGCGGUGAGAGAUCAGCCUCCAUGUUGCGGUGAGAGAUCAGUCUCCACGUUGCGGUGAGAGAUCAGUCUCCACGUUGCGGUGAGAGAUCAGUCUCCACGUAGAGAUCAGUCUCCACGUUGCGGUGAGAGAUCAGAUGGCAGAGAACCCCUCAAGUCUGUCGUGGUGAGAGAGAAGCCUCUACCUCGCCGUGGUUGUUGGACCCUCUUUCAUCCUCCAUUUUCUCCUGCCUAUGUGACAUUCCUGGGUGCUUGAGCAAGAGUCCUCGGCAUACCUCCUGAGAUGGCUCGAUCUUCCUCGAGAUAAGUCCACACAAAAAGACCGUUUCCCAGCCAUUAGCAGCAGCUUAUCUCUCUCUCAAUGCCCCUGGCCUUGUCCAUCUGUGCUCCUUAGAGGAUUUCACAAUCCUUAGCCAGGACCUGUCCAUCAGUGUCCUCAAGACAAAAGAUUUCUCUACAUUUGCCCAGGACUUGCCUGGACUUGUUCCUCAGCAAACUUUGAGUCAAAUGAUAUAAAAGAAUAAUCUCUUACAAACAUCUUUAUUAAUGACAUUGAUGACAGAAUUGAGUGUACCCUCAGCAAGUUUGCUGAUGACACCAAGCUAAGUGGUGCAGUCAACACAGUGGAAGAAAGGGAUGCCAUUCAGAGGGACCUUGACAGACUUGAAAGGUGGGCCCGGGUGAAUAUAAUGAGGUUCAACACAGCAAAGUGCAAGGUUUUGCGCUUGGGCUGGAGGAAUCCCAGUCAUCUAUACAAACUGGAAGGAUCAGUCCUUGAGAGUAGCCCUGCAGAGAAGGACCUGGGGAUCCUGAUGGAUGAAAACUUAAUAUGAGCCAGCAGUGUGUUCUUGCAGCUUGGAAAGCAAAUGGUAUCCUGGGCUCCAUCAUGAGAGGGGUGGACAGCAGGGAUGGGGAGGUGAUUAUCCCUCUUCACUCUGCUUUUG